CAGCAUCAUACUGAAUGGACAAAAGCUGAAAGCAUUCCCCUUAAAAAUUGGCACAAGAUAAAGAUGCCCUCUCUCCCCACUCCCAUUCAGCAUAGCUUUGAGGGUGUUCUUUGCUCUUGGAUUUCUAAUUCUUUUAAUUGUGAUGUUGGGUAGUUAACUUGAGAUCUCAAUUUUGUUUUUGAGAUGGAGUGUUGUUCUCUCAACCAGGCUGGAGUGCAGUGGUGUGAUAUGGGCUCACUGCAACAUUUAUCUCCUGGGUUCAAGCAGUUCUCCUGCCUCAGCCUCCUGAGUACCUGGGAUUACAGAUGAAGAAGAUGAGACUCAGAGCAAUACAUAAGUUGCCCAAGGUCAGAGAGCAAUGACCAUAUCAGAGCACAGUGUACUCCUCUUGCCGUAUUCAGAGGAUUUGCCUAUGGGCAGCAACAUUAUUCUCUCGUUCUCUGGAUAUUAGGAACAAUAUCACAGGACCGGCGGACAGCCCCAGUCAUAUCUGACCAUAUCAAAGCAUGGUGUACACCUCUUGCCGUAUUAAGAGUAUUUCCCUAUGGGCAGCAACAUUUUCCUCUCCUUCUCUGGAUAUUAGGAACAAUAUUCCAGGACCGGAGUACAGCCCCAGUCACGUCGUGGGUAAUGUCAUCUGUAAUUCUCUAGUUAUUAGAAACAAUAUCACGGGGGGCUUGUGUGCUUUCUGAGAUAUUUGGAGUAAUAUCCUUUCCGUUUUUGAACAUUAGAAACAAUACUACAGUGGUGGUGUACACUUCCUGCGA